AGACAAAAGAAUAUGGGUGGCUGCACUUCUCUGCUAGGACCUACACCAGAGUUAAUAUGAAAGCUUCACAUGUGAGAUAAAUGCUCUCAAAGACUCCUCACAAGUAGCUCUUUGGAGCUUCAGAUGUGAAAUGGAUCAUUCCUCAAUCUGUAAUAGACCCUUCUGUGAAGCUCUUCAAUCAAACCUGAGAAUUCAAGGCAUUUUGUAGCAUCCUAAACAGAAGGAUAUUGAAGGGAGCUGAUUCUGCUUUGAUCCUCGUGCUUGUUGUCAAAGCGCCUGGGAUUGAAGAGACUGUUGGCUGCAAUUGACUGUGACAAUUAGGAGAUGAUCAGAGCCCUAGAGUGGAGCACUUAAAGGGUUUGCAUUUAAAACACUCUUGGAGCACUAAUUGUAUAAAAUUCUGGUAACUGCACAUUUUCUUUUUAGAGAGGUAAUGAGUGAAUGAAUGAAAAGGCAGGGAUUAUUUGCCAUUCUAAGCGGGGAUUGUCAGAACAUUUCUACUUGACUGAAAUUGUUUUGGAAGGUGAGCUGGAACAAGAAUCUUGCAACU